AACGCGAAGAACCUUACCUGGGCUCGAAGCGCAGUGGACCGGGGUAGAAAUAUCCCUUCCCCUUAAAAGGCUGCUGCGGAGGUGCUGCAUGGCUGUCGUCAGCUCGUGUCGUGAGAUGUUGGGUUAAGUCCCGCAACGAGCGCAACCCUUAUUGCCAGUUGCCACCGGGUAAUGCCGAGCACUCUGGCGAAACCGCACAGGAUAACUGUGAGGAAGGUGGGGAUGACGUCAAGUCCUCAUGGCCUUUAUGUCCAGGGCUACACACGUGCUACAAUGGCCGGUACAAACCGUCGCAAACCCGUGAGGGGGAGCUAAUCGGAAAAAGCCGGCCUCAGUUCGGAUUGGAGUCUGCAACUCGACUCCAUGAAGCUGGAAUCGCUAGUAAUCGCGGAUCAGAACGCCGCGGUGAAUACGUUCCCGGGCCUUGUACACACCGGAGUA
rnacentral:rRNA from 1 species